GUCUGCCGUCGCAGAAUCGGUGCCAGUCUUAGUCUGCAUGUAACAAAAGUACAAAUCAGGCUAAAAGACAAACAUUGAUACUUUUGACACUCCCCCGAAUCCAACAGUCGGGAAAAACGGUUUAAACACAGGAAUUUCUAGACCUCCAGUUUUGUGACUCACGUAUGCGAUAAAGCUCGUUUGACCAGGGAAGCAACACAACACAACGUUCCAAACUCCCUGUAAAUAAUCCUAUUUGAAUCAACUAAAUUCAGUUUCCUUUGGCGCAAAGCAACUUGCGGAGAGAACAUGGAGAAAAUUUCCCAGCAUGUGUGGUAAUAUACUUACUCAAUUUCAGGAACUUGAUAAUUACAAUGCUUGAGAUCAUAUGAUUUUGAGUAUGCAGAGUUGAAGUUUGCAAGUAGGGAAUGAACAAACUUCCAAAAUUUGAAUCCAGAUUCCAGUGUUUAUGA